CCUACGGGAGGCAGCAGUGAGGAAUAUUGGUCAAUGGCCGGAAGGCUGAACCAGCCAAGCCGCGUGAAGGACGAAGGUGCCAAGCAUUGGAAACUUCUUUUGUCAAGGGACAAAAUCAGGCUCGAGAGCCUGACCGCGGGUACUUGAAGAAAAAGCAUCGGCUCACUCCGUGCCAGCAGCCGCGGUAAUACGGAGGAUGCGAGUGUUAUCCGGAUUUAUUGGGUUUAAAGGGUGCGUAGGCGGACUGUUAAGUCAGCGGUAAAAGCCCGGGGCUCAACCCCGGCGAGCCGUUGAACCUGGCUGUCUUGAGAUGUCGAGAGGUAUGCGGAAUGCGCAGUGUAGCGGUGAAAUGCUUAGAUAUUGCGCAGAACUCCGAUUGCGAAGGCAGCAUACCGGCGGCGAUCUGACGCUGAGGCACGAAAGCGUGGGUAUCGAACAGGAUUAGAUACCCGAGUAGUC
rnacentral:rRNA from 1 species